AAAGAUCGCAGCCUGCGGCAGCUCCUGCAUUGAUCAGGGCAGGAGCUGCCGCAGGCUGCGAUCUUU
rnacentral:antisense_RNA from 1 species